rnacentral:rRNA from 1 species
GAUGAACGCUAGCGGCAGGCUUGAUACAUGCAAGUCGAGGGGCAGCAUGAUUGUAGCAAUACAAUUGAUGGCGACCGGCAAACGGGUGCGGAACACGUACACAACCUCCCAAUAAGUGGGGAAUAGCCCAGAGAAAUUUGGAUUAAUACCCCGUAACAUAUCGAUGUGGCAUCACAUUGUUAUUAUAGAUUUUUCGCUUAUUGAUGGGUGUGCGGCUGAUUAGAUAGUUGGCGGGGUAACGGCCCACCAAGUCUACGAUCAGUAGCUGAUGUGAGAGCAUGAUCAGCCACACGGGCACUGAGACACGGGCCCGACUCCUACGGGAGGCAGCGGUAAGGAAUAUUGGACAAUGGACGCAAGUCUGAUCCAGCCAUGCCGCGUGAAGGAUUAAGGUCCUCUGGAUUGUAAACUUCUUUUAUAAGGGACGAAAAAAGGCUUUUCUAAGUCGUCUGACGGUACCUUAUGAAUAAGCACCGGCUAACUCCGUGCCAGCCGCCGCAGUAA